rnacentral:rRNA from 1 species
AGAGAGAGACAUGCGCGCAUAUCAAUAAGCGGAGGAAAAGAAACUAACAAGGAUUCCCCUAGUAACGGCGAGUGAAGCGGGAAGAGCUCAAAUUUGAAAUCUUAAAGGGUUUCCCUUUACGAAUUGUAGUUUAAAGAAGUGUUUUCUGUUGAGGUUUUGGUAAAAGUUCUUUGGAAUAGGACAUCAUAGAGGGUGAGAAUCCCGUAUUUGACCUUUACUUUCAACUUUGUGAUACACUUUCAAAGAGUCGGAUUGUUUGGGAAUGCAGUCCAAAAUGGGUGGUAAAUUUCAUCUAAAGCUAAAUAUUGGCGAGAGACCGAUAGCGAACAAGUACCGUGAGGGAAAGAUGAAAAGAACUUUGAAAAGAGAGUUAAACAGUACGUGAAAUUGUCAAAAGGGAAGCGUUUGACACCAGUGUUGUUUUUCUGAAAAUCAAUUAAAGAGCUGUUUAUGCUAAGCUGUUUAGACUUUAUCAGCUAUCUGUUUAGUUUUGAGCUUUUCUUUAAUGCACUUUUCAGUUAACAAGUCAACAUCAAUUUCUUUUGCUGUAAAAAAGCUUGAGGAAGGUGGCUUGAGAUUCGUCUUAAGUGUUUAUAGCCUCUUGCCUAUGCAGUCGGAGAGAUUGAGGUCUGCAGCGUAGAUCCUUCGGGGCUAAAUGCAUUUGUGCUAAGUUAUAGCAUUUUAUAGACAACUUGUUGACUAUGAUUUGUCUUGUAGCUUACUCGCUUAUGUUAUUUUACCUACGCUUAGGAUGUUGAGCGCAUGUCUCUCUCU